CCUACGGGAGGCAGCAGUGGGGAAUAUUGGACAAUGGGCGAAAGCCUGAUCCAGCAAUUCCGCGUGUGUGAAGAAGGCCUUCGGGUUGUAAAGCACUUUAGUGGGGGAAGAAACAGCUUGGCCACACCAAGCCUUGACGGUACCCCAAGAAUAAGCACCGGCUAACUCUGUGCCAGCAGCCGCGGUAAUACAGAGGGUGCAAGCGUUAAUCGGAUUUACUGGGCGUAAAGGGUGCGUAGGUGGUUUUUUAAGUCGGAUGUGAAAGCCUGGGGCUCAACCUCAGAAUUGCACUCGAUACUGGGAAACUAGAGUUCGGUAGAGGGCGGCGGAAUUUCCGGUGUAGCGGUGAAAUGCGUAGAUAUCGGAAGGAACACCAAUGGCGAAGGCAGCCGCCUGGGCCUGGACUGACACUGAGGCACGAAAGCGUGGGUAGCAAACAGGAUUAGAUACCCUGGUAGUCCACGCCGUAAACGAUGAGAACUUGACGUUGGUUCGUUUUACGAAUCGGUGUCGCAGCUACGACGAUAAGUUACUCCGUCCGUCGGGUAGGUACGGCCGGCGAACGGUAGUAACGUACGAAGGAAAGUUAGACGGCGUGAGACGUGCCGACGGACGACGACGACGGGAGGUAGG
rnacentral:rRNA from 1 species